UGAGACCUGUCAUAGAAGAUGAUUGGGUAGAUUUCUCUUGCAACUGUUUAAUUAGUAGUAAUCGUCCAGCUGGUAGAGCUACCGACAUUGGAGUAAAGCUAGCAAACAGCUUUGGAUUAACAAAAGGAAGUUCAAAAGGUGUUAUUCUAGAAAUAUCUCUGUGGUCGUGGAUACUGGUCUCUAUUUUUGCGGUAGAAUCAUUAUUGGCAGAAAAAUCCUCCUCAGUAGUCAG